rnacentral:sRNA from 20 species
AGGGUUUCGCUUCGGGCUCACCUCCUCCCGGGCUUCGAAGCGGAUCAAGGGGCCUACACUCCUCCUCCCAACGUAGGCUCCGUUCAUACGACACCCGCCGGUCCUCCCCCGGCGGGUGUUGUUC